rnacentral:lncRNA from 1 species
UCGAGAUGCUUGAUAAAGGUCAACCAAGUGUCUUGGUAUAAGGCAAGUCUUUGACCAGUGCCACUUUCCCACCACAACGAUAACAUAUAGUUUCUGAACAAUUUGCCUUAGGAUCUUCAUUACCCCGUUUCUGCUUUCGGCGGUUAUCUCUCCUUGGGGGUUGACGGACUUCAUUGGAAUUUCUUCCUUGUCUACGUCCCUGGCUAUGACCCCGUUUNNNNN